AAGAAGGAGAAAAAGAAACAGAAGAAAGAAAAGAAAGAGAAGGAGAAAGAAAAAGAGAAAGACCAGAAGAAGAGAAAGUCUUCGUCAUCAAAUAACCCUAAUCCGGAUAACGAGAAAAGGUCAAAAAGGGAUGACCACCGACACCGAAGUCAUAGAAAGUGCCCAGCUUCCGGAAAAGACAGAACUUCAGACUCCCGGAAAAGGACACGGGAUGAGUCCACACAUUACUUCCCAGCCAAGAAGAGGCAUGACACGGAUUCAGACAAUUGACCCAACCUUGUAAAACAAACCCAGAUUUACCCAUCAUGUCGAUGCUUUGACCGUCAAGCGGAAACGAAUUCUGGUUUGGUUCAAAAUUCCGCAUCCUUUUUCUUGACGGGACAUUGUUCUCCCCCCACAUCCAUUGGCACCGCUGCUCAAAAAUUAUUAUUAUUAUUUUUCUCAAAAGGAUCCUGUUCUUUAACGGACAUAAAAAAAUAGCCAUGCUAACCUGGUUCAGAGCAAGACGGUAAAACUAUCGCCAAAUGCCAGGUGCAAAAUAAGGAAUGAUGAGAAGUUUUUGUUUUUCCUCCCAACGUUGGUUAAAAAGAACUCUUUGAUGGCUUGCGUAGAAUUUUUUUUUUUAAAGCAAUAGAAUUUGGGGGAUCCCAGGUAACGGGAGUUACUUCCAAGUUGCGAAAAAUCCGAUUCUGAAUUUCAUCAGGCCAAACCAAGGAAUGGAAACAGUUUAUGGGAUUUGUUGGGGUUUUUGUGUGUGUGUGUGUGUGUGUGGUUGCGACUGUCAGCCGAUUUCAGAAGCAGCCUCAGAUCUUGUAAUUAAAGAACAGAUUGAUUACAGG